AUAUUGCGCAAUGGGGGAAACCCUGACGCAGCAACGCCGCGUGAGUGAGGAAGGUCUUCGGAUUGUAAAACUCUUUUAUUAGGGAAAAAUUGCUCAGUGGUUAAUACCCAUUGAGUUUGAUGGUACCUAAGGAAUAAGCACCGGCUAACUUCGUGCCAGCAGCCGCGGUAAUACGAAGGGUGCAAGCGUUAAUCGGAAUUACUGGGCGUAAAGCGCGCGUAGGCGGUUUAGUAAGUGUGAUGUGAAAGCCCCGGGCUCAACCUGGGAACUGCAUCCCAUACUGCUAGGCUAGAGUACGGUAGAGGGGGGUAGAAUUCCACGUGUAGCGGUGAAAUGCGUAGAGAUGUGGAGGAAUACCAGUGGCGAAGGCGGCCCCCUGGAUCGAUACUGACGCUGAGGUGCGAAAGCGUGGGGAGCAAACAGG
rnacentral:rRNA from 1 species